rnacentral:rRNA from 1 species
CCCUUAGAUGUCCUGGGCCGCACGCGUGCUACACUGACGCAUACAGCGAGCACUUUCCAGUUCCGAGAGGCUACUGGUAAUCGUCAAUAUGCGUCGUGAUGGGGAUAGAUCUUUGGAAUUCUGGAUCUUGAACGAGGAAUGCCUAGUAAUCGCAGGUCAUUAGCCUGCGAUGAUUAAGUCCCUGCCCUUUGUACACACCGCCCGUCGCUACUACCGAUUUCGAGUGGUCAGGUGAAUCUUUCGGACUGUGGGCGCCCUUGAGGUGUUCGCGGAAAGUCAGGUAAAUCUUAUCACUUAGAGGAAGUAAAAGUCGUAACA